UUCCUCAUAAUUGGGAUUGUCAGCAUAAACUGUGGCUAUAACCCAUGCUGUAGAAACUACUGACGAUACAGCCGCUUUAAAAUUCUGCUCUACGGGCCGUCCCUACGGUUCCACUUGCAAAUCGAUUUGUAUGCAAGUCAGAACAAAAGAUCUUUUGAACACUCCUUGCGCUUGAUGUUUCAAUGUCAUACAUCUAAUAUUGGCAGAACGUUGCUUUAAUGGAAUCAAACCCUUGUCCGGCCCUGUGGUGAAAUUGUUUGGUGACUGUCAAUACUGUUGGUUGCGAAAACACUGCUUCCAAACCAGUCAGGACUGGCUGAAGGCCACCACUCAAAAGAUUUUGUACCAAGGUACCAUCGCACCUAAGAUGGCUCUGGGACUGGCGGCACUGUCGACUUUUCGCUGAACUCUUGUAUUCGUGCACUUGAGUACACAUGAUGACAAAACUUAAUUCCAAUUCUAAUUCCAUGUGAACACCACUGGGAGUAUGUGCCAAGCUUGUCAAGAAUGUACCCUGGGUGGGAGACUUCAAUGUCAAUUACCAAGAGAGACGAGGCGUCACCACUGAAGACCAACUUGACUGAGCCCUAAAGAAAACAAAGCUGCUGGACUGAGUCUGCAGCAGGUAGUGGGAGAACCAGCAAAUAGGGAAAAUAAACUUAUUUUACCUUAUCUUCUGUCCAUUUUAGUAUUUCCAGGAGUGACCUCUGCAUAGUCAUUGUGGAAAUAAAGUCCCAUUUUCACAUUGAAGAUUGCCCUCUAUCAUGCUGUGAGGCACUACAGCUAUGCUAAAUGAAACAGACUUAGGAUAUAUCCAGCAAAACAAGACUUGAUAUCCAUCAGAAGCUGUGGGUCAUGGAUGCAGAAGAAUUGUAUCAAUCAGCAACCUGUCGCCAGCUGAAUCUCAUAUUGUGCGAACACUCAUUUAUAAACAGCUUCCCCUGCUGUUUGGGGGAAAGAAACAGCAGUAUAGCUGUGGCUUACAAUGAAUUUCAGUAGUCUGCUUUUUCAAAAAAUGCGGAACUCCUUUCCAAACUUUUUAGUUUCAAAGUAAUCCUUUUCAUAUGGUAGUAGUCACUAACAGUAUAAUUUUUUGAAAAUAUUUUCGGCAAAUCUAAAAUUAGAAUUUGGCAUCAGGUUGCUCAGCUGCCAGCCUUAAAAUUAAAGGAAAUCAGGGAGUGCACGUACUAUCUUUUCUAAAAAUAAUUUUUACACUUGUUUAAUAAAUAAGUCAGACACUUUAUAACUUGUGAACCAGUCACUCUGUGUGUCCUGUGAAGAAGUGAAUGAAUCGCAGGAAAAGGCUAGAGAACUGAAGGACUUGGGAAACAAAAGGAAUACUCCAUCAAAUCCAGAGGACUGGUGCAAUGGAACAAUUUCUCCAGCACUUGCCUCUCCUUUUAUCCAUAACACCACUUUUUUUUUCCCUUUAGUGACCUGAUAAACAUGGUAAAGAUAUUAAAAUAUCUGAAAAGAAAGUGGUUGUCAGUAAGGAAGAGUGUAAAUGAUGAGAAGGAUUUAAUUACUGAAUGUGCUUGGCAGAAAAUUUACAAAUGACACGGAGGCAAUGAGAUCUAUAAUUGGCUUAGUUUGGAAUUCUGAAAUGGAUGCUGGAAAGCCCAAAUAAAGGAUACACCAAUAAACAUUUAUACAUCUGGUACAACCACUGCUUGAUAAAGGAAACAAGAUAUCCUCCAUUGAAAGUAUCUACGCCUAGAUUUAGUGAAAAGAUUGACAUCAAUGAGGACUGUUGGAAUUGGCAUUUAAUGAACCACAAAGAAUUGCCAGUAUUCUUAGUAAAAUUCUCAAAGGAACAGAUGGACUUUAGGCGCGGGGAGAUUCUAACUGUGAAAUGGGAGUAGACAGAGCUCCAUAUGCUUUCAACCCUUCACUGUCCAGGAAUACUGUAGGCACCUGCCAAAAUGUGUAUGUGUGCUCAGGCAGUGUUUUUCAAAUAUGAGCGAGGAUGAUUAUGUCGAUCUGCCAGUAAUUUUAUUGGAAACAAAGUCCAUGAAAUGGCACGGAAAAGAAGUUUCUCCCUAUUGAAUUUCAACAAAAUAGUAAAAACACGCUUUUAAACAUUCCAA